CGGGUUUGAACACAACACAAACUUCGCAGUUAACACAAAUAGGUUUAUUCAACGUUGUUCGUGUUUUUUUGUGCCGACGAAACCGUAACGGGAUCAAGAUGGAAGUCUCUCCGUGUGACGGCGAAGUUGCGAGGAUUACCGAGAAAGUGGAAAAGUCUUUGUCCAUGGAUACAGAUGACAAAAUGGAAGCAUACCACAGAUUCGUUCAGGAUGGUAAAGAUGUUGCCAGACAAGGGGACAUGCACAAAUCGCUGGAGUUCUUCAAACUGGCGUACAACCUUCACCAGAGUCAGAAACUUGAAAUGAGGAUAAAGAAAAUUGAAGAACUUCUUGCUCAGAAUGACUCAGAGGACGAAGACGAAGAGUUUGUCAAUGUCAACAACAGCGGCUUAAUGCUUUUUAAGGAGUUACAUGACAAGCUUUAUGACUACCAGAGAAAUGGAGUGGCCUUCCUGUAUAGUCUCUACAGAGAUGGUCGUAAAGGUGGGAUCCUGGCGGACGACAUGGGUCUUGGUAAAACCAUCCAGGUGAUAUCAUUCCUCUCCGGUAUGUACGAUAACGAGCUGGCGAAACACACAUUGCUGGUCAUGCCAACUUCUCUUAUCACAAACUGGAUCAAGGAAUUUGCUAAAUGGACUCCCGGCAUGAGGGUCAAGGAUUUUCAUGGUACCAGCAAAGGAGAGAGGACCAGGAAUUUGGAGAAAGUUCAGAGAAGAGGUGGCGUCAUCAUCACUACGUACACUAUGCUUAUAAACAACUGGCAGCAACUGUCGUCGUACCACGGCAAGGAGUUCACAUGGGACUACAUGAUCCUGGAUGAGGCACACAAGAUAAAAACGUCAACCACCAAAACAGCCAAAAGUGCCUACGCCGUUCCUUCGAAGAACCGGAUUCUUCUGACAGGAACUCCAGUCCAGAACAACCUGAGAGAAAUGUGGGCGCUGUUUGACUUUGCUUGUCAAGGCACUCUCCUGGGCACAGCAAAAACAUUCAAAACAGAGUAUGAAAACCCCAUCACCCGUGCCAGAGAGAAGGAUGCCACUCCAGGGGAAAAGGCUCUCGGCUCCAGGAUGUCCGAAAACCUCAUGGCCAUAAUAAAGCCCUAUUUUCUCCGCAGGACAAAGUCAGAAGUGCAGAAAAGCAAAAUGAACGGGACACAUGUUUACAAAGAGGAACGCUCAGACAACAAAGACAGCCAAGUACCGAAUCAUCAAAAAGACUCUGGAGCAGUCAUGCCCACACUGACCAGAAAGAACGACCUGAUUGUGUGGACUUACCUGAGCACUGUCCAGGAGGACAUAUACAGGCAGUUCAUUUCACUCGACCACAUCAAAGAGCUGCUCCUAACCACCAGGUCACCGCUUGCUGAACUGAGCAUUUUGAAAAAGUUGUGUGACCACCCAAGGCUGCUCUCUGCCGGAGCCAUAGCCAAGUUGGGCUUGGAGGAGAGUGCAGCUGAACACCAGCAGACUGACGACAUGGAGUCCGACAGUCACAGCAUCGCUAACGUUCCUGACGACACUUUGAUAUCUGAGUCUGGGAAGCUUGUUUUUCUGUUCUCGCUUCUUGAAAGGCUCAAACAGGAAGGCCGCCGCACGCUUGUCUUUGCUCAUUACAGGAAGGUGCUUGACAUUAUCGAACGCAUCCUGGGCAACAGAGGCUUUAAAGUACUGAGACUGGACGGCACAAUAACUCAGAUCGCAGAGCGACAGAGGCUCAUUACUCUGUUCCAGACGGACGAGCGUUACUCCGUCUUCCUUCUGACCACACAGGUCGGCGGAGUUGGCAUCACCUUGACAGCGGCAAACAGAGUCGUGAUCUAUGAUCCCAGCUGGAACCCAGCGACAGAUGCCCAGGCUGUUGACAGGGCGUACCGCAUCGGCCAGACUGAAAAUGUCAUAAUUUACCGGCUCAUCACCUGUGGCACGGUGGAGGAGAAGAUCUACAGACGGCAGGUUUUCAAAGACUCCCUCAUCAGACAGAACACCGGAGACAAGAAGAACCCGUUUCGGUACUUCAGCAAACAGGAGCUGAAGGAGCUCUUCACACUGGAGGACACCCAGUCUUCGUCCACACAGCUGCAGCUUCAGGCGAUGCACUCCAGACAAAGACGGACAGACCCUGAACUGGACGAGCACAUUGCCUAUCUACACUCAAUGGAAAUGUUUGGGAUCUCUGACCACGACCUCAUGUUUUCCCUCGACAUCAACCAUGACGAGGCCCCGGAGGACCAACAAGAGCAUCACUACAUAGAAGGGCGGGUCCAGAAGGCUCAGGAGCUGAUGAAGGCUGAGUCAGAAUUGCAAAUGCAGCUGGCAGAGAGCAUGGCUUCAAGCACAGAACCAGCCUGGCUCAGACAGCCACUGGACAACAGCAACAGAGAGCGGUCAAAUGAGAAAACAUCAAGAAAUCCAAGACCAAGUCCUCCACACCCACAAAAUGACAUCAGCAGGUCACUGGUUGUGAUGGAGUUGGAGCACUCAGGUUCUGGCAAGGAGGACGGCCAACAGAAUCUGAGUAACCAAGUGUUCGAUCUAACUGCAGCUGAGAGUACGACAGAAGAACAAUCUGUAGUAGAAAUAAGCCAAGACAAGCUUUCUGAGGAGAACCUGGAUUCCCCAGAACACCAGUCUAUCAAGCAGGACAGGAGUGACUUGGAGGCAGCAGACGCCUCUCCUCAGGAGGUCACGGAGCAGUCUUUGGUGAUUUCAGGGGCUGCUGAUGCUGCAUCAGCUGAUGUGGCAGAUGCUUCUGUGCAAGAACUAAUGGACCAAUCAGUGAUGUCUGAGGCCGCAGUUUCUGCAGGUGAGUGCAGCCUCGUGUACGUUACAGCAGUUGAUGAAGAUAAAAAACUGCUGAACGGAAAUUUGCACUCAAAAUGCGACGACUCUGAGAUGGACGUGGGUCACUCUUAUGUCACACCCCUGCAGAACAAAAGACUGUCUGUUUUGCAAGCGUCCAACUCAAGCUUCAAAGCAGACACGUCGUCCAGAGUCAGCGCUGGGCUUGAAUCCUUCGAAGGCAACUUCAAUCUGCAGCUGGACGACAGCGACAUGUUCUCAGACAACAGUAUUCAGAAUCUGCCCGACACUGAAGCAGAGGAGAGGAAGCUGCUGUCACAGCUGCAGAUCGAGGGGAGUUUUGACAUAAAUAAAUCGCUUUCUGAGAGACAACACAAAGAAGCACCCCGGCAAAGCCUCAACAACAGCCGUGCCUCUGAAAUGGAAGAGUCAGUGAAUGAUUCUAUUGUAGUUACCGGGAAGAAAAGAGGAGCAGUGAUUUAUGAUAGUGAAGAAGAAGAAGAUGAUGAUGAUGAGAGGCAACUCGAAAACUCCUUUCAGGUGCUCGGUGCCUCCACACCUAAAUCAGUGCCCUCUGGUUCAACCCCUCUCCGAUCCAGAAAGAGUGUCGGAGGAAACACCUCUGUGGCCUCCCGCCGGUCCCUCCUCCAGUCCAUCAUCGAAGACAUAGAAAACCACAACCAGGAUGUGGCCGAAGAGGAAAACAUCAUUGAUUCAUUUCAUGAUGAGCUUCAGCUGGAGGAGACCAUUGGAGAGACUCUGAACACAGAGGAGGAGGAGGAGGAGGAGCAGGGGGAGGAAGAGGAAGAGGAAGAGGAGGAGGAAGAAGAGCACUCUGAGUCAGCAUAUGUCGUCAGUGAGUCAGGAGAGGAAAUGAGCAGCAACCUUGAGGAAUCGACCAGCGAACCCGAGCUAGCCUCCAGCGAGAGAAUGGAUCAUUGCACUGUUGAUGCAGGAGUGAAGAUGAACGGGACAACAGACGCUGCUGAGUCUGAGGGCGAGAGCUACGACUCCCUGGUCAGCAGAGGGAGGGAGUGCUACAGCAGAGGGAAGCUGGACGACGCCCUGGGCUUCUUCCUGAGAGCUAUCGACAUUAAAGCCGGAGAUCCUGAAAUUCAGCUCAUGACCAUCCAGCUCUACCGGCAGCUGAGUCAGAAGAGUUAGAACCGCCCACCUCCACCACAACCUGAAGUCAGCAUCUGCCCGAUGGUAAAUACUGUUAGAAAAAAAAAAAUCAGGGCCACGACGUCUGUUCAACACAUCCACUGCUCAGAACCAAACCAACAGUGUUCAUCCUCUGUCUCUCAGCUCUGUCCUCCGUCCUCUGUCUGUGGCUCUCAGCUCUGAGCCCAUUGGUUCAGACUGAAGACAUAAAUCUCACUGUGGUUUUAGGAGCGGACAGCAGGACGGAGUGUGUGCGCCUGAGUCACAAUCAAACACACUGUGUGUGUUGGUCUGCAUCUGUACAUGACAUUUGUUUACAGGAAGCACCAAAACUCACUGAACCUGAACUUACAUGUUUUCUAAGGAGGCUGAAAUUAUUAUUUCAGAGAUUAUUCAAGAAAAACAAGAGAUGGACAGAGUUUCUGAAAUGGUUGUAGAUACCUUGAUGACUGUAGUGUCAUUAGGAGGACACAGGCCAUAGGUCAGCACUAGCCAGCCACAGCAAUGCUAUAAUACAGCUGUGCAGUGAGCUGUGCUCUAACCCUGCUGCUCUGCUUUGGAGAACCAGCUCCUCUGGAAUCUUCGGUAGUUUGGCUUCUGCUGUGACGCGUGGGCUCCGAGCUGCGGCCUCAGCUGGGUCGGUAACCUCUGGCUGUUUUCGUUUCUGUCGGCUGGUCGCUGUAGAGACAUUGACGCUGUCGAUCGGCUCGACGCCGACUGCGUCCUGUCACACCAGCAAAAUAAAAUAAAAUCUUAUUGCCACUAACUGCCCCGAGCUUUGCCAAACUGUCUGCUGUCAGAAGUAAAAAGAAACUGAUAUACGAUCAGACAUCUGCUCUGUUCAGUCCUGUCUGUCCCUUUCAGGUCAGAUUGUGAGACGUAUUUUUGAUAUCAGACACUCUGGUGUAUGUUGUUGUGCAUUCCUGCAGUCCAGGCAUUACUCCUGUCCCUGCUCUGGUGAAGGUGACCUGUGCAGAAUGGCUUCCUGUUUGGGAAAACCCUCAGUGUGGGUUGGUUGUGGUGUUGCUUCUGUAUUGAGGACGGUUCAGCCUCAGCAUGGUGUUAGCUGCAUCCUUUCCUCUCCACCACUUCAGCCCAAAUUUAAACUUUGUCUAAACCAAACUCUUUGACUUUUCCUGUAAAUGUGUGAACAAAUCAGAAGGUGGUGGAGACACUGAGAUGCAGGGGCCGGUGUUUCGCUCUGGUUGUGUCGGUGGUGUAAAAUGGCGACGGGUGUGUAAUUGAAUCAUAGGUAAUUAACAGUGUCUGGGUAUCUCUCCCCUUGCUGCCCCCU